rnacentral:rRNA from 1 species
GAUGAACGCUGGCGGCGUGCCUAAUACAUGCAAGUCGAGCGAACGGACGAGAAGCUUGCUUCUCUGAUGUUAGCGGCGGACGGGUGAGUAACACGUGGAUAACCUACCUAUAAGACUGGGAUAACUUCGGGAAACCGUAGCUAAUACCGGAUAAUAUUUUGAACCGCAUGGUUCAAAAGUGAAAGACGGUCUUGCUGUCACUUAUAGAUGGAUCCGCGCUGCAUUAGCUAGUUGGUAAGGUAACGGCUUACCAAGGCAACGAUGCAUAGCCGACCUGAGAGGGUGAUCGGCCAGACUGGAACUGAGACACGGUCCAGACUCCUACGGGAGGCAGCAGUAGGGAAUCUUCCGCGAUGGGCGAAAGCCUGACGGAGCAACGUCGCGUGAGUGAUGAAGGUCUUCGGAUCGUAAAACUCUGUUAGUAGGGAAGAACAUAUGUGUAAGUAACUGUGCACAUCUUGACGGUACCGAAUCAGAAAGCCACGGCUAACUACGUG